rnacentral:rRNA from 1 species
GCGCGUAGGUGGUAGUGCAAGUCUGGGGUGGAAUCUUAGGGCUUAACCCUAAAACUGCCGUUGGAAACUGCAUUACUUGAGUCAGUGAGGGGAGGGUAGAAUUCCUGGUGUAGCGGUGAAAUGCGUAGAUAUCAGGAGGAAGGCCUGUGGCGAAGGCGGCCCUCUGGCGCUGAACUGACACUGAGGCGCGAAAGCGUGGGUAGCAAACAGGAUUAGAUACCCUGGUAGUCCACGCCCUAAACGGUGGGUACUAGGUGUAGGGCUCGUAAGGGUUCUGUGCCGAAGGGAAACCAUUAAGUACCCCGCCUGGGGAGUACGGCCGCAAGGUUGAA